CAUCAGCAGCCUUAUACGCAAGUGCCACAGGACUACGAAUUGAACACUGUAGCUACAUGCGACCUUACAACAAGACAAUCCAAAGCAAGCAUUGAGUUCAGAUCUGUUGGAUACUAGCUGGUGUGUCCUCCCCGAGCUUGAGGAGAUGUAAGAAGCCCAAGUGCACAUCCUCUGAUGAUGCUAUCUGUUGGUCAUAGGGCCUGGUCGUGUGGGCCUGGUGGAUUCCUGGAGCCUCCUCUUCCUAAGCACACGGCUGUCGAUCACGGCCUGU
rnacentral:lncRNA from 1 species